GUGGGGAAUCUUAGACAAUGGGGGAAACCCUGAUCUAGCCAUGCCGCGUGAGCGAUGAAGGCCUUAGGGUUGUAAAGCUCUUUCAGCUGGGAAGAUAAUGACGGUACCAGCAGAAGAAGCCCCGGCUAACUCCGUGCCAGCAGCCGCGGUAAUACGGAGGGGGCUAGCGUUGUUCGGAAUUACUGGGCGUAAAGCGCGCGUAGGCGGACCAGAAAGUUGGAGGUGAAAUCCCAGGGCUCAACCUUGGAACUGCCUUCAAAACUCCUGGUGUGGAGUUCGAGAGAGGUGAGUGGAAUUCCGAGUGUAGAGGUGAAAUUCGUAGAUAUUCGGAGGAACACCAGUGGCGAAGGCGGCUCACUGGCUCGAUUCUGACGCUGAGGUGCGAAAGCGUGGGGAGCAAACAGGAUUAGAAACCCCAGUAGUCC
rnacentral:rRNA from 1 species